CCUACGGGUGGCAGCAGUGGGGGAUAUUACACAAUGGGGGGAACCCUGAUGCAGCGACGCCGCGUGGGGGAAGGAGUGCUUCGGCAUGUAAAGCCCUAUCGGCAGGGAAGAAGCAAGACGGUACCUGACUAAGAAGCCCCGUCUAACUACGUGCCAGCAGCCGCGGUAAUACGUAGGGGGCGAGCGUUAUCCGGAUUCACUGGGUGUAAAGGGAGCGUAGACGGGCAUGCAAGCCAGGGGUGAAAGCCCGGGGCCCAACCCCGGGACUGCCCUUGGAACUGUGCGGCUAGAGUGCGGGAGGGGCAGGCGGAAUGCGUGGUGUAGCGGUGAAAUGCGUAGAUAUCAGGAGGAACACCGGCGGCGAAGGCGGCCUGCUGGACCGCGACUGACGUUGAGGCUCGAAAGCGUGGGGAGCGAACAGGAUUAGAUACCCCUGUAGUC
rnacentral:rRNA from 1 species